UGGGGAAUUUUGGACAAUGGGCGCAAGCCUGAUCCAGCCAUGCCGCGUGCGGGAAGAAGGCCUUCGGGUUGUAAACCGCUUUUGUCAGGGAAGAAAUCUUCUGAGUUAAUACCUCGGGAGGAUGACGGUACCUGAAGAAUAAGCACCGGCUAACUACGUGCCAGCAGCCGCGGUAAUACGUAGGGUGCAAGCGUUAAUCGGAAUUACUGGGCGUAAAGCGUGCGCAGGCGGUUUUGUAAGACAGAGGUGAAAUCCCCGGGCUCAACCUGGGAACUGCCUUUGUGACUGCAAGGCUUGAGUGCGGCAGAGGGGGAUGGAAUUCCGCGUGUAGCAGUGAAAUGCGUAGAUAUGCGGAGGAACACCGAUGGCGAAGGCAAUCCCCUGGGCCUGCACUGACGCUCAUGCACGAAAGCGUGGGGAGCAAACAGGAUUAGAUAGCCCUGGUAGUCCACGCCCUAAACGAUGUCAACUGGUUGUUGGGAAGGUUCCUUCUCAGUAACGUAGCUAACGCGUGAANUUGACCGCCUGGGGAGUACGGCCGCAAGGUUGAAAC
rnacentral:rRNA from 1 species